rnacentral:rRNA from 1 species
UACGUAGGGGGCAAGCGUUGUCCGGAUUUAUUGGGCGUAAAGCGCUCGCAGGUGGUUCGUUGCGUCGUGCGUGAAAGACCCCGGCUCAACUGGGGAAGUGCCUUUGAUACUGGCGGUCUCGAGGGGGAUAGGGGCGUGCGGAACUUCCGGUGGAGCGGUGAAAUGCGUAGAUAUCGGAAGGAACACCGGUGGCGAAAGCGGCGCGCUGGAUCCCUUCUGACGCUGAGGCGCGAAAGCCAGAGGAGCGAACGGG